rnacentral:rRNA from 1 species
GCUUCCUGGUGGCGAGCGGCGGACGGGUGAGUAAUGCAUAGGAAUCUGCCCGGUAGUGGGGGAUAACCUGGGGAAACCCAGGCUAAUACCGCAUACGUCCUACGGGAGAAAGCAGGGGACCUUCGGGCCUUGCGCUAUCGGAUGAGCCUAUGUCGGAUUAGCUGGUUGGUGAGGUAAUGGCUCACCAAGGCGACGAUCCGUAGCUGGUCUGAGAGGAUGAUCAGCCACAUCGGGACUGAGACACGGCCCGAACUCCUACGGGAGGCAGCAGUGGGGAAUAUUGGACAAUGGGCGCAAGCCUGAUCCAGCCAUGCCGCGUGUGUGAAGAAGGCCCUCGGGUUGUAAAGCACUUUCAGUGGGGAAGAAAGCCUUCCGGCCAAUACCCGGGAGGAAGGACAUCACCCACAGAAGAAGCACCGGCUAACUCCGUGCCAGCAGCCGCGGUAAUACGGAGGGUGCGAGCGUUAAUCGGAAUUACUGGGCGUAAAGCGCGCGUAGGUGGCUUGAUAAGCCGGUUGUGAAAGCCCCGGGCUCAACCUGGGAACGGCAUCCGGAACUGUCAGGCUAGAGUGCAGGAGAGGAAGGUAGAAUUCCCGGUGUAGCGGUGAAAUGCGUAGAGAUCGGGAGGAAUACCAGUGGCGAAGGCGGCCUUCUGGACUGACACUGACACUGAGGUGCGAAAGCGUGGGUAGCAAACAGGAUUAGAUACCCUGGUAGUCCACGCCGUAAACGAUGUCGACUAGCCGUUGGGUCCUUCGCGGACUUUGUGGCGCAGUUAACGCGAUAAGUCGACCGCCUGGGGAGUACGGCCGCAAGGUUAAAACUCAAAUGAAUUGACGGGGGCCCGCACAAGCGGUGGAGCAUGUGGUUUAAUUCGAUGCAACGCGAAGAACCUUACCUACCCUUGACAUCCUCGGAAUCUGCCGGAGACGGCGGAGUGCCUUCGGGAACCGAGUGACAGGUGCUGCAUGGCUGUCGUCAGCUCGUGUUGUGAAAUGUUGGGUUAAGUCCCGUAACGAGCGCAACCCUUGUCCCUAUUUGCCAGCGAUUCGGUCGGGAACUCUAGGGAGACUGCCGGUGACAAACCGGAGGAAGGUGGGGACGACGUCAAGUCAUCAUGGCCCUUACGGGUAGGGCUACACACGUGCUACAAUGGUCGGUACAAAGGGUUGCGAGCUCGCGAGGGCAAGCUAAUCCCAGAAAGCCGGUCUCAGUCCGGAUCGGAGUCUGCAACUCGACUCCGUGAAGUCGGAAUCGCUAGUAAUCGUGAAUCAGAAUGUCACGGUGAAUACGUUCCCGGGCCUUGUACACACCGCCCGUCACACCAUGGGAGUGGACUGCACCAGAAG